rnacentral:ncRNA from 2 species
CUCUUAUCAAGAGCGGCAGAGGGAAUGUGCCCGAUGAAGCCCGGCAACCGUCUAUAAUAGAAAAGGUGCCAAAUCACACGAAGCAGUAUGCUCCGGAAGAUGAGAG